CGACUUCAGACUAAGCCAUGCACGUCUAAGUACAAACUAAAUGAUGGUGAAACUGCAAAUGGCUCAUUACAACGGUUAUGAUGUACCCGGGAGUUCCGAUGGAUAUUUCCAGUAACACUAGAACUAAUACAUGUCCCUGCGUUUAUUAGUUUCGCACAGUCCGUCGCUGAGUCAUGGUAAACAGUUGAUCGACUCGACGUCCCGGAACAGUUUCCGCCCCAUCAGCUUCGAUGGUUGGGUAUUGGCCUACCAUUGCAACAACGGGUAACGAGGAAUUAGGGUUUGAUUUCGGAGAGGGAGCCUGAGAAACGGCUACCACAUCUACGGAUGGCAGCAGGCGCGCAAAUUACCCAAUGCAGACACUGUGAGGUAGUGACGAGAAAUAAUAAAGCGGGACUUCUGUUUCGCUAUUAUAAUGAGGAAUAACCAAAGGUCAUUCCGAUUAGCAACUGAUGGGAAAGUCUGGUGCCAGCAGCCGCGGUAAUACCAGCGUCAGUAGC
rnacentral:rRNA from 1 species